AUUAGUUGGUCAUAUUCUGUGUUUCUUAACUUCAGGUCACCACAGAGGGUUUAAGCUGGCAAGAAAGAGAUUAAGAAGUCUCUUUCAGUGUACUCAUGAAUUUCAGCCUGGGGAGGAAGUGCCAGAAAGACAGAGCUGUUUAGAUAAAACGCAUUGUUUAAUAGUGAUCACAAAGAAGUUUUCAAAAUCCUGCGGCCUACCUGUGGUGAAAGAAGAUUUUCUUGGGGGGACUUAAUUAAUGAAGCAAGCUGCUGAAUCUCCUGCAUCAAAAAACAGUGCAGACAGCACUUGAACCCUUCUGGUGGGACAGGAGAAAAGGAGAAAACUCAGGACAGAUGAGGCGAAAGAGCAUCUUUCCCUUUAAGGCUAACUGUGAUACCUUCAGAAGGAAGAACACUUUUUAGGAAAGGAUAAUGUCAU
rnacentral:lncRNA from 12 species